rnacentral:rRNA from 1 species
GUAGGUGGCAAGCGUUGUCCGGAAUUAUUGGGCGUAAAGCGCGCGCAGGCGGUUCUUUAAGUCUGAUGUGAGAGCCCACGGCUCAACCGUGGAGGGUCAUUGGAAACUGGAGAACUUGAGUACAGAAGAGGAAAGCGGAAUUCCACGUGUAGCGGUGAAAUGCGUAGAGAUGUGGAGGAACACCAGUGGCGAAGGCGGCUUUCUGGUCUGUAACUGACGCUGAGGCGCGAAAGCGUGGGGAGCAAACAGGAUUAGAUACCCUGGUAGUCCACGCCGUAAACGAUGAGUGCUAAGUGUUAGGGGGGUUUCCGCCCCCCUUAGUGCUGCAGCUAACGCAUUAAGCACUCCGCCCUGGGAGUACGGCCGCAAGGCUG